rnacentral:tRNA from 1 species
GCCUCUGUAGCCCAGUGGUAGGGCAUUUGCCUCUUAAGCAAGCGGUCGUGAGUUCGAAUCUCACCAGGGCCA